ACACUUUGUUUAAAGCAGCCAUGACAUUAUAAGAAAAAGGGUCGAUCUGACUAUGAUGAAUUUGCUUGUUGUGCAACAGUUCGCGUAUGAAGGGAAAUUUUUGAAACAUGCAAAAUAUAUCGUUGCCGAUUUUGUGAAGUAAAUUGAGGCUAAAUAUUUCAAUGCGUUGACAGUUUUCACACAUGACGUUGGUGUUAGCUUGUUCCGAUUUUCGUUUCGUUUUCAUUAUUUCUGCUUGUAACCUGGGAACAAUCGUCUGUAUUAUUUCGUGAUUUUUACGUAUCAAAUCAAACAGAGACUUUGGUAAAUCAAACAGUUAACUGUUUACCUGCGCAAAUUAAGCAAAAUCUGAUGUAUCAAAAAAUAAUGAAAUACAAUUCAUUCUACCGGUAAUUCGAUCGGCAUUAUCUUUUGCGUAAUGGUAGAUUAAUGCAAUAGGUUUUGUUGCGAUGCUCGGCAUUUUCUCGAGUUUAUUCAAUUUAAAUAAAGUUUGACAUUGCUGACGGAAAUAUGUAGGUAUAUACAUGUAUCUAUAUGAUUCAUUUCGAAAAAAUAAAUUGUGUUCUUUAUUUGUUAUAGUGAAUGUUUCUUGUGUUUAAUUGUUUUCAAUUUCUAUUUACUAACCAUAUUUGAGUGUUAAGCUUCAAAUUAUAAGCAAGAUACAGAGAUUUGCUCACAAUUCUAUGUUCGUACACAGAUCUUAAAAACUAAAGAUUAAAAAAGUAAAAAAUUUGUCAAUAUUUAUUGAGAAAAUUUUCAAAGUCUGUUCGUUCAGAAACCAACUUUAACAUCUUAUUGUAUUGUAAACUUAACAUUUUUUCGUCAUUAUUACUCCUACUGUACAUGUGAUCCUUCACUGUGUUUGUGUACAUUUGUAUAAACUGAUUUUGAACCUCAAAUACCAGUGAACUGGUAUUGAGUGAAUAAAAGAAUAUAAAAUCUUAGGCCAUUCUUUUUUUCCAUUUUAAAUGCUGAAUAGGAAAUACCAAGUUAAAAAUCAUAAGCUGAAUGUAAUAAACUCAUGUGAACAAAAUAUGAAUCAAACCUAGGCGAACUGUGAGCUCUGUAUCUUGCUUAUAAUUCUACAAUUGACGCUGAAAUUUUGGUUGAACAUUAGAAAAUCUCUAUGAAUUAGAGUAUGUUAAAUACUUGUACAAACAAAAUAAAAGAAUGAUACUGUGAAAUCAUUAGAUUUCGUGGUGGCUCAUUUUUCGUGGAAUUAUUGGGUACCUCUCAUCCACGAAAUAACAUCCUUCACGAAUUGAUGAAUAAGGGUAAUAAAGUCAUAUUCCCUUUUGUAGAUAUAUAUGAAAACACGAAAUUACGUCCCCACGAAUCUGUAAAAUUUAAGUCAUCCACGAAAAUUGGCCCCCACGAAAUUUAAUGAUUCCACAGUAUUCUGUA
rnacentral:sRNA from 1 species